rnacentral:lncRNA from 1 species
UACGCCUGAGUUUCCUGUCUAUAACGCAGGAGUGGGGUCUGCCCACUGUGACAUUUCCUCCUUUUAUAACAUGGCUGGGGCAGUCCUUCCAAGAGGGCUGACCGAGGUGUGGACCGCUCAGCCCGGCGGGGUCCACGGGGCUCUGCAGCGAGCCUGACCACGGGGUCCAGAGGGAGGACGGUGGCAGCCAGAGGGAUGGAGGGGAUACAGGGAAAAGCGGCGCUGAAAAGCCAAGUUCGAGUUUCCCAGGCUGGAAAGGACGGAGCAGCUACUGGAGUUGACACCAUCUGCAUCCACCAUCCUGACCCUGUGGACCUCACGCUGGACAUGGAGUGGCUCUACUGAGAGCUGAGCCACCAGCCCCAUGGUGUCGCCCGGCUUGCACAGGGACUGUCUCUGUGUCACACCAGACCAGCCUUGACCUGCCUCCCCAGUGUUCCCCUUCAGGUUCUGUGACUUCUACACCCUCCUUGAGAACCCCAGAGGCUCCAGUCUCCUCCACCUCUACAGAAAGAGCCUUCUCUCCGUGUCUCCUUCCGUCCCACCUCCACAUCGCCAAGCUUAGCGAUGAGAAGGACCAGAGAGCACACACAGCGCCUGCAGGUGAGCUGGAUGACUGCUUCUGGAGGAUGCCCAAGUGAUGGAGCAGUCGCCUCGGUUCUCCUUCCUGUGACCUCUCAGCAUCCAGCACACCAGCCUCGGCUCGUUCAUGUGGUCACAGAGCUCCCAGAGGGCAAGCCCCAGCACACAGCACUUUUCCAGCCUCUGCUCACCACAUCAGGUUUCUCUCGUCCCUUUGACCAAGACAAGUCAUGGCCAAGCCGGAGUCACAGGGUGGAGGUGGCCUCCCCACCUUGGUGGCAGGGGCUGCAACACCACGUUGGAGGCGUGGCUGCAGGGAGUCUCUGGCCCUGCGCUGUCCGCUCACCCUUAACUUCACCAUCACAACCUGCGCUGCGUGGAGGACAUGCAGCCACGGCGCUCGGAGGAGUUCAACAAAAUAGAGAAGGUUUUGCAGCUCCUGCUCAGGCCCUUGUCAAGAACGCCAGUGUCAGCCCAUCUGCACCAGCUGCAGGCUGACCUCGCUCAGGUGGGACCUCCAGAGAAGAUGGCCCAGCGAGACCUAGUGGAAAUUCUUACCCACAGUCCCCCAGGGCCGAGUCCUCCCCUUGGCCUCAGCCCUUUCCUGCAGCCCAUCUAGGACAGCCACUGGCCCCCAGGCUCUGCUCUGGACUUUCCCAUCCUCCUGAGCCUCUAAUCUCCCACACAGUAUUUACUAGGAACAAAAUGACAAAAUGUAGCAA